GCCGCACCCAGUGCCAUCGCGGGUGGUGGGCCCGCCCCCGGAGCCCGCGUCUGAGGAGGUUUAAAUUUGCUUGCAAAGGAGAGUAAGUUGUGAGCAGACUUCAAAAGGAACAAAAAGAGGUGAGCAUAUACUAUCAGAUUCAAUCUUAUGAUCCUAUUUUUGAUGUAGAGGUUUUAAAUUUGACAUGUAAACAUGUGUUUUUAUCAUUUAUUGUUUGUCAUGAAAACCAGCUGCUAUCACUGUACAAACAGUCUUUUACAUGAUCAAACACUAGCCUUUAUAUAUUGAAACAUUUGCAGUUUUAAGGUUCUA